CACUGCUGAAGCACAGGUACACACACACACACACACUGCUGAAGCACAGGUACACACACACACUGCUGAAGCACAGGUACACACACACACACACACACUGCUGAAGCACAGGUACACACACACACACACACACACUGCUGAAGCACAGGUACACACACACACACACUGCUGAAGCACAGGUACACGCACACACACACACACACACACACACACUGCUGAAGCACAGGUACACACACACACACACACACUGCUGAAGCACAGGUACACACACACACACACACACUGCUGAAGCACAGGUACACACACACACACACACACACACACACACA